rnacentral:rRNA from 1 species
UACAUGGGGUGCAAGCGUUGCUCGGAAUUAUUGGGCGUAAAGCGCACGUAGGCGGUCUGUUAUGUCAGAUGUGAAAGCCCUCGGCUUAACUGAGGAAGUGCACCUGAAACUGGCAGGCUUGAGUACGAAAGAGGGUCGCGGAAUUCCCGGUGUAGAGGUGAAAUGCGUAGAGAUCCGGAGGAACACCAGUGGCGAAGGCGGCUGGCUGGACCUGACCUGACGCUGAGGCGCGAAGGCGUGGGGAGCGAACGGG